GACGAACGCUGGCGGCGUGCUUAACACAUGCAAGUCGAACGGAAAGGCCCUGCUUUUGUGGGGUGCUCGAGUGGCGAAUGGGUGAGUAACACGUGAGUAACCUGCCCUUGACUUUGGGAUAACUUCAGGAAACUGGGGCUAAUACCGGAUAGGAGCUCCUGCUGCAUGGUGGGGGUUGGAAAGUUUCGGCGGUUGGGGAUGGACUCGCGGCUUAUCAGCUUGUUGGUGGGGUAGUGGCUUACCAAGGCUUUGACGGGUAGCCGGCCUGAGAGGGUGACCGGCCACAUUGGGACUGAGAUACGGCCCAGACUCCUACGGGGGGCAGCAGUGGGGAAUAUUGCACAAUGGGCGGAAGCCUGAUGCAGCAACGCCGCGUGCGGGAUGACGGCCUUCGGGUUGUAAACCGCUUUCGCCUGUGACGAAGCGUGAGUGACGGUAAUGGGUAAAGAAGCACCGGCUAACUACGUGCCAGCAGCCGCGGUGAUACGUAGGGUGCGAGCGUUGUCCGGAUUUAUUGGGCGUAAAGGGCUCGUAGGUGGUUGAUCGCGUCGGAAGUGUAAUCUUGGGGCUUAACCCUGAGCGUGCUUUCGAUACGGGUUGACUUGAGGAAGGUAGGGGAGAAUGGAAUUCCUGGUGGAGCGGUGGAAUGCGCAGAUAUCAGGAGGAACACCAGUGGCGAAGGCGGUUCUCUAGGCCUUUCCUGACGCUGAGGAGCGAAAGCGUGGGGAGCGAACAGGCUUAGAUACCCUGGUAGUCCACGCUGUAAACGGUGGGUACUAGGUGUGGGGUCCAUUCCACGGGUUCCGUGCCGUAGCUAACGCUUUAAGUACCCCGCCUGGGGAGUACGGCCGCAAGGCUAAAACUCAAAGGAAUUGACGGGGCCCCGCACAAGCGGCGGAGCAUGCGGAUUAAUUCGAUGCAACGCGUAGAACCUUACCUGGGUUUGACAUGGAUCGGGAGUGCUCAGAGAUGGGUGUGCCUCUUUUGGGGUCGGUUCACAGGUGGUGCAUGCCUGUCGUCAGCUCGUGUCGUGAGAUGUUGGGUUAAGUCCCGCAACGAGCGCAACCCUUGUUCACUGUUGCCAGCACGUUAUGGUGGGGACUCAGUGGAGACCGCCGGGGUCAACUCGGAGGAAGGUGGGGAUGACGUCAAGUCCUCAUGCCCCUUAUGUCCAGGGCUUCACGCAUGCUACAAUGGCUGGUACAGAGAGUGGCGAGCCUGUGAGGGUGAGCGAAUCUCGGAAAGCCGGUCUCAGUUCGGAUUGGGGUCUGCAACUCGACCUCAUGAAGUCGGAGUCGCUAGUAAUCGCAGAUCAGCAACGCUGCGGUGAAUACGUUCCCGGGGCU
rnacentral:rRNA from 1 species